GACGCUGGCGACGCGCUUAAUGCAUGCAAGUCGACGAAAGCCGGCUUCGGCCGGUAGAGAGCGGCAGACGGCUGAGUAACGCGUGAGUAACUUGCCCUCCGGUGGGGUAUACACUCGGGAAACUGAGGAUAAUCCCGCAUACGACCCGGUCCCCUUGGGGAUCAGGUGAAAGGCUUCGGUCGCCGGAGGAGAGGCUCGCGUCCUAUCAGGUAGUUGGUGGGGUAAAAGCCUACCAAGCCGAUGACGGGUAGCUGGUCUGAGAGGAUGACCAGCCAGAGGGGGACUGAGACACGGCCCCCACUCCUACGGGAGGCAGCAGCAGGGAAUCUUGGGCAAUGGGCGAAAGCCUGACCCAGCGACGUCGCGUGGAGGACGAAGGCCUUCGGGUUGUAAACUCCUUUUCCGAGGGAAGAUUUAGGACGGUACCUCGGGAAUAAGCCCCGGUAACUACGUGCCAGCAGCCGCGGUAAUACGUAGGGGGCAAGCGUUACCCGGAAUUACUGGGCGUAAAGUGCGCGUAGGCGGUUGGAUAAGUCUCUUGUGAAAGCUCCCGGCUCAACUGGGAGAGGUCAAGGGAUACUAUUCGACUAGAGGACAGCAGAGGUAAGCGGAAUUCCCGGUGUAGCGGUGGAAUGCGUAGAUAUCGGGAGGAACACCAGCGGUGAAAGCGGCUUACUGGGCUGUAGCUGACGCUGAGGCGCGAGAGCGUGGGGAGCAAACUGGAUUAGAUACCCAGGUAGUCCACGCCCUAAACGAUGGAUACUAGGUAUGGGGGGUAUUGACCCCCUCCGUGCCGCAGCUAACGCGUUAAGUAUCCCGCCUGGGGACUACGGCCGCAAGGCUAAAACUCAAAGGAAUUGACGGGGACCCGCACAAGCGGUGGAGCGUGUGGUUUAAUUCGAUGCUAAGCGAAGAACCUUACCUGGGCUUGACAUGUUGGUAGUAGCGCGCCGAAAGGCGUCU
rnacentral:rRNA from 1 species